AUUGAACGCUGGCGGCAGGCCUAACACAUGCAAGUCGAACGAGUGGCGGACGGGUGAGUACUGUCUGGGAAACUGCCUGAUGGAGGGGGAUAACUACUGGAAACGGUAGCUAAUACCGCAUACCAUCGGAUGUGCCCAGAGGGGAUUAGCUAGGAGGUGGGGUAAAGGCUCACCUAGGCGACGAUCCCUAGCUGGUCUGAGAGGAUGACGAGCCACACGGGAACUGAGAAACGGUCCAGACUCCUACGGGAGGCAGCAGUGGUGAAUAUGGCACAAUGGGCGCAAGCCGGAUGCAGCCAUGCCGCGUGUAUGAAGAAGGCCUUCGGGUUGCAAAGUACUGUCAGCGGGGAGGCGUUACGCGCAGAAGAAGCACCGGCUAACUCCGUGCCAGCAGCCGCGGUAAUUC
rnacentral:rRNA from 1 species